AGAGUGAAAAUAUUUAAAAUUUUUAAACUUUACUUUGCCUUUUUUACUCUAGUGAACUUUAUCUUAGUGGAAAUUACUUACAAUGUUCUGGGGCCUUGGCUCUCAUCGAACCUAUAGCAGAAUUUGCAGAAAACCAGGGAAAAGAUAAAGCAACAAAGCUUUUACAAGACAGAAGGAGUCCAUCUCAACAAAUGCUUCAAGGUAAAUUGGAAGUGGAGGAACACCUGGUCACUCGGGCACAAACAUUCCAUCUUAUAAAAUAUUCUGGCCACUUAAGAGAAAUAGAUCUUGGCAAUAAUGUUCUGGGAGAAAUUGCUGCUACUAAUAUACUGGAAGCACUAAAGGAACGAAAGAAAGGUAGAGUAUUUCUAAUUUCUUAUACUACGAAAUACCUCUAUUUUAAAGGCUAGAU
rnacentral:lncRNA from 1 species